rnacentral:tRNA from 1 species
ACUAGAUUGGCAGAUUUAUGUGUCAAAUUUAAGUUUUGGAGAAAUUAUCUAGUU